UACGAGGGGGGCAAGCGUUGUUCGGAAUUAUUGGGCGUAAAGGGCGCGUAGGCGGUGCGGUAAGUCUGAUGUGAAAUCUCCGGGCUCAACUCGGAGUCUGCAUCAGAAACUGCCGUGCUUGAGUGUGGGAGAGGUGAGUGGAAUUCCCGGUGUAGCGGUGAAAUGCGUAGAUAUCAGGAGGAAUACCGAUGGCGAAGGCAGGUCUCUGGGCUGACACUGACGCUCAUGCACGAAAGCGUGGGGAGCAAACAGG
rnacentral:rRNA from 1 species